CAACUAAAUCGGUAAAAUUAGGGAAACCUAAUGACACAAAGCUAUAGGGUCUAAUUUAGACAGCCAGUUGCAAGA
rnacentral:ncRNA from 1 species